GUGACUGCGUACCUUUUGUAUAAUGGGUCAGCGACUUAUAUUCUGUAGCAAGGUUAACCGAAUAGGGGAGCCGGAGGGAAACCGAGUCUUAACCGGGCGUUAAGUUGCAGGGUAUAGACCCGAAACCCGGUGAUCUAGCCAUGGGCAGGUUGAAGGUUGGGUAACACUAACUGGAGGACCGAACCGACUAAUGUUGAAAAAUUAGCGGAUGACCUGUGGCUGGGGGUGAAAGGCCAAUCAAACCGGGAGAUAGCUGGUUCUCCCCGAAAGCUAUUUAGGUAGCGCCUCGUGAAUUCAUCUCCGGGGGUAGAGCACUGUUUCGGCUAGGGGGCCAUCCCGGCUUACCAACCCGAUGCAAACUGCGAAUACCGGAGAAUGUUAUCACGGGAGACACACGGCGGGUGCUAACGUCCGUCGUGAAGAGGGAAACAACCCAGACCGCCAGCUAAGGUCCCAAAGUCAUGGUUAAGUGGGAAACGAUGUGGGAAGGCCCAGACAGCCAGGAUGUUGGCUUAGAAGCAGCCAUCAUUUAAAGAAAGCGUAAUAGCUCACUGGUCGAGUCGGCCUGCGCGGAAGAUGUAACGGGGCUAAACCAUGCACCGAAGCUGCGGCAGCGACGCUUAUGCGUUGUUGGGUAGGGGAGCGUUCUGUAAGCCUGUGAAGGUGGCCUGUGAGGGUUGCUGGAGGUAUCAGAAGUGCGAAUGCUGACAUAA
rnacentral:rRNA from 1 species